rnacentral:rRNA from 1 species
GUGCCAGCCGCCGCGGUAAUACAGAGGUCCCAAGCGUUGUUCGGAUUUACUGGGCGUAAAGGGUGCGUAGGUGGUGGACUAAGUCGGGUGUGAAAUCUCCGGGCUCAACCCGGAGCAUGCGCCCGAUACUGGACCGCUAGAGGAUGGGAGGGGAGACUGGAAUUCUCGGUGUAGCAGUGAAAUGCGUAGAUAUCGAGAGGAACACCGGUGGCGAAGGCGAGUCUCUGGACCAUUCCUGACACUGAGGCACGAAAGCCGGGGGAGCAAACAGGAUUAGAUACCCUCGUAGUCC